AAAAAAAUAUGUGUGGUCGUACAAAGUCGUAAAAAAAUAAUUCAAGUGUCUGAUGUGUAUUAGAAUAUGAAAAGCUGGCACGUGAGGGGCGGCGACGAGCGCGAUCCUCAGGAUAUAGGGGAGAGACGGGACGGGGGAUAAAGUAGACCUGGUGUGGGUGGGGAUUGUGGAGUGGAACAGAAUGGAAUGGAAUAAAAUAGAAUAGAAUGGAAUGGAAGAGAGCAACGUGGCAGAACUACGAGGAGUAUAGGAGUGUAGAAGUACCCAUAGGUCAGAGACGAUAGCUCUGCGUUGAGUUGCUGCGGUGGCGGUGGCGAUGGCGGUAGCAGAGCUGGCAGGGGUGCAACUACUUACCAUACUCUCCCGGUAUAUACACACUAAAGUCCCCGUGGCAGCUCCUCGCAGCGUUGCUCUGAGCUUUGGAUAGUAGUCGCUAACGCACGUUGCUUCUCGGUAGAACAAGUAAAGCAAAAAUAUACUCAGGGAAGAGUACAGAAACUGAGACGCUAUUGGAUUGUCUUCUGUCGUCUGUUCUGCUGUUGUAUUGUUUAUUGGUUAUUGUUUUUAUUAUUAUUGUUGCUGUUAUAUCUUCCUGCACGUGGUUUGUACCUCAAAAAAUAUAAUAAGAAGCAGUUUAUAACACGUGGAGACGUAUAUACUUCUCUCUUUGUCUUCCUAUGUAUUACUUAUACCUUUUGCAAUCCUCAGUAGCUUUGUAUCAUCUUUGUUUCUGUCUUUGUUCAGUAGUACUCACUUGUGUGAUCACGAUCACACAAGACAGUCUGAACGGAAGAUAAUCUAGCGGAGACAAGGUGGAAGUACGCUUAGAAUAUAAAAAUAAUAAGGAAAAAAAAUUAUUUAUAUAAAGACAGAGAGGAAAUGAGAACAAAGAGAACUGCAGAAAAAAGUAGGUUGUGGUUUUAAUGCUGAGAGUCGGAUAAAUAAAAGAAAAAAUUAGCGAAAAUUAAAGUAAACAAAGGGUAAAUCUGGAAAAAUAAUUUCAAUGAAAGGGAUAGUAAUUAACUUUGUGAGCAGCCUGAGGGUAAGAGUCCAUUGAAUUGAGUACACGGAUAAGAUAAAAGGGAUGAAAACCCGGAAUACAUGUAUGCUGAAAGAGUGGGCAGCAUGAGCUUGACCAACGUCUGAUGGAGAUUUACCCAAACAAAGUGCGCACCGUGCCGGGCUAGUAUAAGUUAUUUUGUGUGUGAUAUUAGUCACGUGGGUUUCGGCUUAGUGUCGCUCUGUCGGCAACAAUUCGAACAAACUUAAGAGUUCGUGGGAGAUAGAGUGAGUGGGCAGAGACCUGGAGGUGGGACCCACACUAUAAGGAGAUUAAGACGCUUAACUUUUUUUUCCGGUCUUGGGCUAAAAAAUGUGCAUAAUCCGAGGAUGCAUUUGAGAUAGAGAUGAAGAAUAACAAGAGAUUGGGAUGGAAAAAAAGAAGAAGAGCGGAGAAAAAAGGAGGACCGGAGAGUUCUCGAAGAAGAGUUUAAGCGUGAGCGCCAAAUCAGAGCCUGCAGAGAGCAGCAGUCGUAGGUAAUGUAAGGUUUGAAAUGUUGUCUAGUGUCUAGCUGGGGAAUGGAGAUCGAGGGGACUCAGUUUCGAGGGCUUCGAUGAGAGUCGCACGAGAAAUCUGCAUUUCUGCCUUAUUUCACUAUCCGUCCUAUUGCUACCGUACUAUUCAUAUAUAUAUAUAUAUAUAUAUAUAUAUAUAGUACUUUGCCGAGAGAGCUUUCGAGCGACUCGCAAACACUCUGUCCGCGACACUGGGCUUGUACCCGAGAGUUCUUCACUCGUUUCUAUUCGCUCGUGAAGACAGACUCAUAGCCAUGGCUGUAGCCGUAGUUGUCAUCAUCCUCGUCCUCAUCCUCGUCGUCGUCGCCGAGUAUUUGCUCUAUCCCAAGUUGAGAGUAAAGAGUAGUACACCUCACUCUUAUCUCUAUAUAUAUAUUCACUCGGGUUCACUAUUCAGAGCGCUUUAUUCUAAAGGGCAUCAGCAUUUUCUGGGGAUCAAUGCACUCAAGAAUAACGUUGUUAUUUCAAACUCAAGAGGACGGAACAAUUCUUCGUGAUUGCGUUGAAAAACUCACCCAACUGGAAUAAAAAAUACAAUGGAAGUACCUCUUGUUUACCAUUAACUUUAAAAUCUCAACAAAUAACAAAUUCCAUUGAAAGUAUACGAAAUCCAUUUUAAAUUUAAACCACAUUUUUAUCAUCAUUAUUUGAUGAAAAUUAGUUUCAUUAUUUUUCCAACUGUUUCAAGUAAAAGAAAAAAAAAUGAUAAGUUUUAAUGGAUAAAAACCUCUAGUAAACUUUGUAUUAAACCACAAAACUUGAGAGUCUCUCAUCCAUCCUCUUAACGAAAAAUGUUAAAAAUAAUUUCACCGUGGAAAUGCAGCGUGCUCGGCAGCGGAACCACAGCAAGAGAAAGAGAGAGAGCAGGAUCUGCGUCGGGUAAUUAAUCCGCGGUUUUUCCUAGUCUAAUUAGUUGGAUUUAUUCUGUGGCCCCGACCAACCCCCUCAUCUCUUUUAGUCUCUUUUCUCUCAUAAAAUGCGAGAAAAUUCUUCACUUCUCUCUUUCGCUGGUGCAGCUGUCUCUAUCUUUCAGCAGUAGUCGAAAAUGUGCUCGCUCUUAUGCUCGCUAGAGAGACCUGGUAUACGGAGACGAAGCUGAUGUAUGGAAAUAUAUUCGGGGAGACGGAGCUUCGCAUUUUUCCAGGGAGAGACUGCCUCCGUUUACAUCCCAGGUUCAUGUGCGAGCACCUCUUGCUCCUUUCUCGUACUUUACUCUGCUCUCUGCUCUCUUUUCAUCAGCCCACCCAACUACUCACACCCUUUCAACUAAAUUCUCUCUCUCCCUCUACAUAUAUAUAAAUAUAUCUGCAAACCUGUCUACUAACGUCAUCCUUAAUGAACCGUCUACUCAUUAAACUCGUAUCGUGUCAGAUUCGCACG